UACGGAGGGUGCAAGCGUUAUCCGGAUUUACUGGGUUUAAAGGGUGCGUAGGUGGGUAGGUAAGUCAGUGGUGAAAUCUUCGAGCUUAACUCGGAAACUGCCAUUGAUACUAUUUAUCUUGAAUACUUUGGAGGUAAGCGGAAUAUGUCAUGUAGCGGUGAAAUGCUUAGAUAUGACAUAGAACGCCAAUUGCGAAGGCAGCUUACUACACAGUCAUUGACACUGAGGCACGAAGGCGUGGGGAUCAAACAGG
rnacentral:rRNA from 1 species